rnacentral:rRNA from 1 species
AUUGAACGCUGGCGGCAGGCCUAACACAUGCAAGUCGAGCGGAUGAAGGGAGCUUGCUCCUGGAUUCAGCGGCGGACGGGUGAGUAAUGCCUAGGAAUCUGCCUGGUAGUGGGGGAUAACGUCCGGAAACGGGCGCUAAUACCGCAUACGUCCUGAGGGAGAAAGUGGGGGAUCUUCGGACCUCACGCUAUCAGAUGAGCCUAGGUCGGAUUAGCUAGUUGGUGGGGUAAAGGCCUACCAAGGCGACGAUCCGUAACUGGUCUGAGAGGAUGAUCAGUCACACUGGAACUGGGACACGGUCCAGGCUCCUACGGGAGGCAGCAGUGGGGAAUAUUGGACAAUGGGCGAAAGCCUGAUCCAGCCAUGCCGCGUGUGUUAAGAAGGUCUUCGGAUUGUAAAGCACUUUAAGUUGGGAGGAAGGGCAGUAAGUUAAUACCUUGCUGUUUUGACGUUACCAACAGAAUAAGCACCGGCUAACUUCGUG